rnacentral:rRNA from 1 species
UGGGGAAUUUUGGACAAUGGGCGAAAGCCUGAUCCAGCAAUGCCGCGUGUGUGAAGAAGGCCUUCGGGUUGUAAAGCACUUUUGUCCGGAAAGAAAUCCUUGGCUCUAAUACAGUCGGGGGAUGACGGUACCGGAAGAAUAAGCACCGGCUAACUACGUGCCAGCAGCCGCGGUAAUACGUAGGGUGCAAGCGUUAAUCGGAAUUACUGGGCGUAAAGCGUGCGCAGGCGGUUUGCUAAGACCGAUGUGAAAUCCCCGGGCUCAACCUGGGAACUGCAUUGGUGACUGGCAGGCUAGAGUAUGGCAGAGGGGGGUUAGAAUUCCACGUGUAGCAGUGAAAUGCGUAGAGAUGUGGAGGAAUACCGAUGGCGAAGGCAGCCCCCUGGGCCAAUACUGACGCUCAUGCACGAAAGCGUGGGGAGCAAACAGGAUUAGAUACCCUGGUAGUCCACGCCCUAAACGAUGUCAACUAGUUGUUGGGGAUUCAUUUCCUUAGUAACGUAGCUAACGCGUGAAGUUGACCGCCUGGGGAGUACGGUCGCAAGAUUAAAACUUAAAUG